AUAUAGCUUCAGAAUUUUUUUCGUGGAACAUCAUAAAUGGACGCCCCACUAAAAGAAACAAGGAGAAGUAGAGAACCAAGGAAAUACGUUGCAAAUAAAACACUCCAAGAAUUUCUCGGAAGAAUAAAAAACAGAGGACCACACGUACUUGUCGAAACUGACGGAAGUAGUAUUCUUGUUCGUGGUGGCAUUUUAGCAAACACAGGAUAUGCGCCCCAUAUAGAUAUAUGCAGAGAGUCAACACUUAGCUCUUCACAGCCAUUUGUCGAGCACUACACUGCUCCUCAAGAACGACAUCAGGAGUUCAGGACUGGCGGGUGAUGGCCGUGAGUUAUGGUCCUCUAUCCUCCCGCUGCUUCCUCUCUGACGGGUGUACCACCUAGCUCCAGGCCGAGGCCUCCUCUACUGCAGGCCAAGGAAUCCUCUAGCUGCAGGUGGUUGCGAGGUAGGCAUGGUGGACGGGGACGGGGUGCGCCGGUGAGCUGCAGGUCGAGGCCUCCUGUAGCUGCAGGCCGAGGCCUCCUCUAGCUGCAGGUGGUGGCGAAGUAGGCAUGGGGGACAGGGAAGGUGUGC
rnacentral:lncRNA from 1 species